AAAGAAGAGACCCAUGCCUGGGCUUCCCAUGUGCAAGGUGGGCUGUCAGUCCCUGAAGGAGUAGGAACAGGGACAGUUUCUGGAUGGCACAAUUGCAAUGAACAAAGACAAAGCAAAUAAAGCCCUACAACUGAGAAUGGUGAGGGAAAGGAUAGCAAGGAUCAGGGUCUGACCACUUUACCACUGGGAACCAUCAAGACUGAAGCGUGGUCUCAUGGUGACCAGGUGGCCCCGUGACUUGUGUUGUAGAAAGAGCUCCACUUAGUGGGGUUGAAGACUAACUUUGCCUCCCUCCCACCUGCCUGCCUCUUGCCCUUCAGAUCUGCGGCUGUUCUUAGCAGCCAGCAUCCGUCUCGGGGAUCUUGAGGAGUGCUGGGAUGACAGGCUUGUGGCAGCAUGUCUUGUUUCCAUGGUGAUGGAGACUGAACCCAGGGCUUUGUGCAUGCCAGGCAAGCACUCUGCCAUCUCUUCUUUCAGAGCUUUGGUUUACUGUCUUGGACUUUACAGAUGGGACCAACAAUACAUCCCAUAGUACACGCAUGAACCCAGGACCACCUGCCCCAGGCUGUCACUGCCCAGAGUGGACUGGGCCCUCCUAUGUCAAUCAUUAAUCAAGAGAAGGAGGUAUCCUUUCAACGAAGGUUCUCUCUUCCGAUGACUCUAGUUCGUGUCAAGUUGACAAAACCCAACCAGCAAGCUCUGUUAUUCCAUAAAUAAAUGGUGUGAUGUAU
rnacentral:lncRNA from 1 species